CCCUUAGAUGUUCUGGGCUGCACGCGCGCUACACUGAUGCGCUCAACGAGUUUAUGACCUUGCCUGGAAAGGUUGGGUAAUCUUCUUAAAACGCAUCGUGAUGGGGAUAGAUUAUUGCAAUUAUUAAUCUUCAACGAGGAAUUCCUAGUAAGCGCGAGUCAUCAGCUUGCGUUGAUUACGUCCCUGCCCUUUGUACACACCGCCCGUCGCUCCUACCGAUUGAAUGGUCCGGUGAAGCGUUCGGACCGUGGCCUUUGGACGGUUCGCCGUCUGUUGGCUGCGGGAAGUUCGUUAAACCUUAUCAUUUAGAGGAAGGAGAANUCGUAACA
rnacentral:rRNA from 1 species